UAUGUGAUCGUCUCUCGCAUAUCAAUAAGCGGAGGAAAAGAAACUAACAAGGAUUCCCCUAGUAACGGCGAGUGAAGCGGGAAGAGCUCAAAUUUGAAAUCUUAAAGGGUUUCCCUUUACGAAUUGUAGUUUAAAGAAGUGUUUUCUGUUGAGGUUUUGGUAAAAGUUCUUUGGAAUAGGACAUCAUAGAGGGUGAGAAUCCCGUAUUUGACCUUUACUUUCAACUUUGUGAUACACUUUCAAAGAGUCGGAUUGUUUGGGAAUGCAGUCCAAAAUGGGUGGUAAAUUUCAUCUAAAGCUAAAUAUUGGCGAGAGACCGAUAGCGAACAAGUACCGUGAGGGAAAGAUGAAAAGAACUUUGAAAAGAGAGUUAAACAGUACGUGAAAUUGUCAAAAGGGAAGCGUUUGACACCAGUGUUGUCUUUCUGAAAAUCAAUUAAAGAACUGUUUAUGCUAAGCUGUUUAGACUUUAUCAGCUAUCUGUUUAGUUUUGAGCUUUUCUUUAAUGCACUUUUCAGUUAACAAGUCAACAUCAAUUUCUUUUGCUGUAAAAAAGCUUGAGGAAGGUGGCUUGAGAUUCGUCUUAAGUGUUUAUAGCCUCUUGCCUAUGCAGUCGGAGAGAUUGAGGUCUGCAGCGUAGAUCCUUCGGGGCUAAAUGCAUUUGUGCUAAGUUAUAGCAUUUUAUAGACAACUUGUUGACUAUGAUUUGUCUUGUAGCUUACUCGCUUAUGUUAUUUUACCUACGCUUAGGAUGUUGAUAUGCAUGACUGAUAU
rnacentral:rRNA from 1 species